rnacentral:rRNA from 1 species
CGGACGGGUGAGUAACACGUGGAUAACCUACCUAUAAGACUGGGAUAACUUCGGGAAACCGGAGCUAAUACCGGAUAAUAUAUUGAACCGCAUGGUUCAAUAGUGAAAGACGGUUUUGCUGUCACUUAUAGAUGGAUCCGCGCCGCAUUAGCUAGUUGGUAAGGUAACGGCUUACCAAGGCAACGAUGCGUAGCCGACCUGAGAGGGUGAUCGGCCACACUGGAACUGAGAUACGGCCCAG